CAAAGGCCGCACGCACGUGCAUGAAGCUGUGGCCUCUGGGAAUCUGGCACUGUUCUACAAGUUGGUGGCACGCCUUCUCCGCGACAAUGGCAGCAGGCUCCUUGAAUCGUGUGACCACGUUGGGCAGACAGCACUGCACUAUGCGUGCAUGCUACGGCAGGAACUCGUAGUGGGCGUGUUGUGCGAGGCAGGUGUACAGCGGGACGUGCGAGAUAAGGACGGUGCCACAGCCAUGCACCUGGCUGCAGAGCGAGGAGGCCAUUCCUGUGUUGAGCAGUUGCUGG